AUGAGGGUGAGGAACAGGAAAGAAGGAAAUUUGGGGAAAUGGGGUGAAUGUCAGGUGGAUCAGAGAGAUACAGUCGUGGGGGUCAGGCGUGGUAUCAGGAAUAAUGUGGGAGGCCGGACUGAAGUCCGGGCCAGGAACAACGGUAAUUGUGGGAGACUCAAAAAAGAGUGAGUAUAGCUGAAGGAGCUGGGGAGCAGAAAUUUUAAGUUUUUAAGAACACAGGCCAAGGGAGUAGAAGGAGGAAUGGAGGGUGGAAGGUUGCCCAUAGUGAAGGAAGCAAGCCUAGAGAAAAGAGAGUAGAGAAACGGAGGGAAGGGUCGGGGGUUCUUAUCUUCCAGAAAAGUGGGAAAAGGGGUUGGGGCGCAGAGAUAAGAGGUUGGGGCACAGAAGUAAGGGAUUGGGGCACAGAGAUAAGAGGUUGGGGCGUGGAAAUGGAUUGGGGUGCAGAGAUAAGAGGUUGGGGUGCAGAAAUAAGGGAUUGGGGCACAGAGAUAGGUUGGGGCAUGGAAAUAAGGGAUUGGGG
rnacentral:lncRNA from 1 species